ACCUCUUCAACCCAUUCCCCCACACACACACACACACACACACACACACACUUCCCCUUCGAUUCCCACACACAGAGAAAAUCCACACCCUCAUCAACAGACCAAAAUUUCCACCUAUUGAACUACACACACAAUCUGUCAGUCUUAUACACACACAGCAGCAGAUAGCUACCCACUCUCCGUUCACAAAUACAGCUACUCCCCAUUCACAUACUUACAGUUACAUGCUCUCACACACAUAGAGCUGUCUAAUCCACAUUCAAACACAUCCAGCUAUCUGCUCCCCAUUCACACACAUCCAGCUAUCUGCUCCCCAUUCACACACCCAUCUGCUUCCCAUUCACAUACUUAAAG